GAUGAACGCUGGCGGCGUGCUUAACACAUGCAAGUCGAACGAAGCACUUCGAUUUCUUCGGAUUGAGGAGUGACUGAGUGGCGGACGGGUGAGUAACGCGUGGGUAACCUGCCUCAUACAGGGGGAUAACAGUUAGAAAUGGCUGCUAAUACCGCAUAAGCGCACAGUACCGCAUGGUACGGUGUGAAAAACUCCGGUGGUAUGAGAUGGACCCGCGUCUGAUUAGCUAGUUGGUGAGGUAACGGCUCACCAAGGCGACGAUCAGUAGCCGACCUGAGAGGGUGACCGGCCACAUUGGGACUGAGACACGGCCCAAACUCCUACGGGAGGCAGCAGUGGGGAAUAUUGCACAAUGGGCGAAAGCCUGAUGCAGCGACGCCGCGUGAACGAAGAAGUAUUUCGGUAUGUAAAGUUCUAUCAGCAGGGAAGAAAAUGACGGUACCUGACUAAGAAGCACCGGCUAAAUACGUGCCAGCAGCCGCGGUAAAAC
rnacentral:rRNA from 1 species